rnacentral:rRNA from 1 species
AGCUUGCUCCUUUGACGUUAGCGGCGGACGGGUGAGUAACACGUGGGUAACCUACCUAUAAGACUGGGAUAACUUCGGGAAACCGGAGCUAAUACCGGAUAAUAUUUCGAACCGCAUGGUUCGAUAGUGAAAGAUGGUUUUGCUAUCACUUAUAGAUGGACCCGCGCCGUAUUAGCUAGUUGGUAAGGUAACGGCUUACCAAGGCGACGAUACGUAGCCGACCUGAGAGGGUGAUCGGCCACACUGGAACUGAGACACGGUCCAGACUCCUACGGGAGGCAG